rnacentral:rRNA from 1 species
GCUCAGAUUGAACGCUGGCGGCAGGCCUAACACAUGCAAGUCGAGCGGUAGAGAGGUGCUUGCACCUCUUGAGAGCGGCGGACGGGUGAGUAAUACCUAGGAAUCUGCCUGGUAGUGGGGGAUAACGUUCGGAAACGGACGCUAAUACCGCAUACGUCCUACGGGAGAAAGCAGGGGACCUUCGGGCCUUGCGCUAUCAGAUGAGCCUAGGUCGGAUUAGCUAGUUGGUGAGGUAAUGGCUCACCAAGGCUACGAUCCGUAACUGGUCUGAGAGGAUGAUCAGUCACACUGGAACUGAGACACGGUCCAGACUCCUACGGGAGGCAGCAGUGGGGAAUAUUGGACAAUGGGCGAAAGCCUGAUCCAGCCAUGCCGCGUGUGUGAAGAAGGUCUUCGGAUUGUAAAGCACUUUAAGUUGGGAGGAAGGGCAUUAACCUAAUACGUUAGUGNCUGACGUACCGACAGAA